GGAGUUUGGGCCGUGUCUCAGUCCCAAUGUGGCCGGUCACCCUCUCAGGUCGGCUACUGAUCGUCGCCUUGGUGAGCCGUUACCUCACCAACUAGCUAAUCAGACGCGGGUCCAUCCUAUACCACCGGAGUUUUUCACACUGCUUCAUGCGAAGCUGUGCGCUUAUGCGGUAUUAGCAGCUGUUUCCAACUGUUAUCCCCCUGUAUAGGGUAGGUUACCCACGCGUUACUCACCCGUCCGCCACUAAGCUUUCGUCAAGUGCAAGCACUCGCUAGGCUCCGUUCGACUUGCAUGUGUUAAGCACGCCGCCAGCGUUCAUC
rnacentral:rRNA from 1 species